rnacentral:rRNA from 1 species
GAUGAACGCUAGCUACAGGCUUAACACAUGCAAGUCGAGGGGAAACGCCAUCGAAAGCUUGCUUUUGAUGGGCGUCGACCGGCGCACGGGUGAGUAACGCGUAUCCAACCUGCCCAUCACUUGGGAAUAACCUUGCGAAAGUAAGACUAAUACCCAAUGAUAUCCCACGAAGGCAUCGGAAUGGGAUUAAAGAUUUAUCGGUGAUGGAUGGGGAUGCGUCUGAUUAGCUUGUUGGCGGGGUAACGGCCCACCAAGGCAACGAUCAGUAGGGGUUCUGAGAGGAAGGUGCCCCACAUUGGGACUGAGACCCGGUCCAAACUCCUACGGGACGCAGCAGUGAGGAAUAUUGGACAAUGGGCGAGAGCCUGAUCCAGCCAAGUAGCGUGCAGGAAGGCGGCCCUAGGGGUUGUAAACUGCUUUUAGAAGGGAAUAAAGUGGGUCACGUGUGACUUUUUGCAUGUACCUGAUGAAUAAGGACCGGCUAAUUCCGUG